rnacentral:lncRNA from 1 species
ACGGUAGAGCUGAGUUCGGCGACCCGAGCCUCGGAGGCAGCUAGCGCUUGGCGCAACUCGGCGGCCUCUGUGCGUGCGCGCUCGCCGGUAGCCGUGGCCGUGGCCAGCAAUUCCCGAAGCGCCUCUAGCUCGCGGCUCCGCCCCCGCGCCGCCUCCUCAGCCUCUGCAAAACGGCCCCGAGCAGCCUCUAACUCGGCCGCAGCCUCCCGCUCCCUUCUGCGUAGCGCCUCCUCCAGACCGCGGAUCCGGGUCUCCAGCUCGGCCUGCAGCGCCGCCGCCGCCGCCCCCGGGUGCAGGAUCGCAGCGCAAGGGUCCUCCGUGCCGCUGGUCUCGGCUUCCGUAGUCUCUGUCACAGUGGCCUGUGCCCCCGUGGGCUCCAUAGCUGUGUCCUGCGCUCCGGUGCAGUCUGCCUCCGUGGCCUGCCAGCAAUCGGCCUGCGCUCCUGUGGCCACCUGGGUGGUGUCCUUGACUCCUAUAGCUUCUAUCGCUGUGGUCUGCACUCCUGUGACCUUCACUCCUAUGACCUCCGCCACUGUGGCCUGCACUCCAGUGGUCUUCACUGCCUUAGCCUCUAAUCCUGUGGCCUGAAUUCCUGUAUCCCGCACUCCGAUGGCCUCCAUGUUUCUAAUCACUGUACCUGUGAGCCCUGCCUGUGCCAACACAUCCACCUCAUCAGCUUUCAUUCCUGGAUUCUCUUUUCCUCCUGUAUCUUCGGCAGCCACUGGCUCACUUUCGGCAUUGUCACCUAGAGCUUUCACAUUUAGGGCCUCAGCCAUAGUAGCACUAGUGUCCAUUUCCUUGGCUGCCAGUCUGUCUUUCCCCGUGGCCUCUGAACCUGCAGCCUCGGGUUCUAUGGGUGCUGCUUCUGAAACCCCUGCUUCAGUAUUCCAGACACCCUUGGAGCCUCCUGCUUGGAGUUCCAUUCCAUUUGCUUUGGUUUCUGCAUAUGUGGUGCCGUUGAGGUCUGGGACGCUGGGUCCAUUCUGGAUAGUGAUUCCCUUAUCCUUGAUUUCCUGGUAUGCUGUCUCUUCUCCUUCUUGAGCCCUGGGUGGCUCCCCCUCCUGCUGCUGCUGCUGCGAAUGCAUGGCCUCUGUGUAUUGCCUCCGAAGCUGCUCAAGCUCUGCCCGUAAGGAUUCAUACAAGACCAGGGGGACGACCUCGGCCUGACUUUCUUCUGCCAUCUGCGCCUCAUCCUUUUCAAACUCCUCAAGGAUCUGGGGGUGGGGAGGCAGGCAGGCUAAGAGGUGGGCUCACCAUGUUCCCUGCCCACCCCGAGGUCUGCAGAGAUGUCCACUGCCUCAGUUUCCCCACCUGGACCUUUUCCAGCAGCUCCUGGUUCUGCCUGGUGAGCUGAGCCACCUGCUCCUGUAGGGAAGCAACUAUUUCCUCUGCUGAUGGACUCUGGUUCUUUGGCAUCAGUGCAUCAGCUCCUGACAAGGUUGAGAACAGCACAGAGUCAGGCUGGGGACACAUGCCAUGAGGGACAGUCAGGAACUGCUCAGUGGGGAGGUGCAUUGCCUCAGGCAGGUGGGGAUCAUAGUGUCUGUGCCCUUCUGGCAUCAUGUGCCUCCUCCAUGGAAGGCCAUGGUCGUGGUUUUGUGUCCACAUGGCCAUCCACCCCUCAGAAUCCCGGGUAGGCAGCAGGGAGGGUGUGUGUGUGUGUGUGGAGGGGCAGAUCUCACCUGGGAAGUCAGGCAUCUCACCCUCCUCAUCCUGCAGGGUAGCUACAUCAUAGCUUGUGUUUUCUCUCUCAUUCUAGGAGUCCAGCACAAAGUAGACCUUCAGACCCUGCUCCUUACUGACAAGAGACUUUAGGUCCUCCCAAACUGACAAUGUCCAUAUAUCCACACAACAGCGGGAUUGGGGGUCAGCUCCAAACUGGCUGUGUCUGUGUCUGCUGAGCACCCAAAUGGCCCUUCCACCUUCUAGUGAGAUGCAGGUAUGGACCAGGGCCUUCACACAUGCUAGGCAAGCACUCAUCACUGAGGGAUGUUCUGGCCAGAGUCUGGCUCUGGGCUUGAAUCCCAGCACAUCCCCAAAUACAUGCUCAUCUCUGUGUA